rnacentral:rRNA from 1 species
GACGAACGCUGGCGGCGUGGAUUAGGCAUGCAAGUCGAACGGUAUCAUCCUUUCGGGGGUGAGAGAGUGGCGAACUGGUGAGUAACACGUAGGUUAUCUACCCUCAAGACGGGGACAACCCAGGGAAACUUGGGCUAAUACCGGAUGUGAGCAACUUUUAGUUGUUUGAAAGGUGGCGUAAGCUGUCGCUUGGGGAUGAGCCUGCGUCCUACUAGUUAGUUGGUGAGGUAACGGCUCACCUAGGCAAUGAUAGGUAGGCGGCCUUAACGGGUGGUCGCCCACACUGGGAUUGAGAUACGGCCCAGACUCCUACGGGAGGCAGCAGUCGAGAAUAGUCUACAAUGGUCGGAAGACUGAUAGUGCGACGCCGCGUGAACGAUGAAUCCCUUCGGGGUGUAAAGUUCUUUUAUAUGUGAGCAGUGCUUCUUAUAUUAACAGUAUGGGGAGAGAGAUAUUAGCAUAUGAAUAAGCAACGGCUAACUCCGUGCCAGCAGCCGCGGU